UACGUAGGGGGCAAGCGUUAUCCGGAAUUACUGGGUGUAAAGGGAGAGUAGGCGGCAAGGUAAGCGAUAUGUGAAAGCCUUAGGCUUAACCUGAGGAUUGCAUAACGAACUAUCUAGCUAGAGUACAGGAGAGGAAAGCGGAAUUCCUAGUGUAGCGGUGAAAUGCGUAGAUAUUAGGAAGAACACCAGUGGCGAAAGCGGCUCUCUGGUCUGUAACUGACGCUGAGGUUCGAAAGCGUGGGUAGCAAACAGG
rnacentral:rRNA from 1 species